rnacentral:rRNA from 1 species
UUGUAAUGUAAUUCCUACAAUGUUAAUGCACUGGAUACCAUUAGAAAUCUUCAGUUAAGCAUGCUUGGGCUAGAGUAGUAUUAGGAUGGGUGACCUCUCGAGAAGUCCUAGUGUUUUACAUG